UACGUAGGUGGCAAGCGUUGUCCGGAUUUAUUGGGUUUAAAGGGUGCGUAGGCGGCCUAUUAAGUCAGUGCUGAAAUAUCCCGGCUUAACCGGGAGGGUGGCAUUGAUACUGCAGGGCUUGAGUGAAGUCGAGGUAGGCGGAAUUGACGGUGUAGCGGUGAAAUGCUUAGAUAUCGUCAAGAACACCGAUAGUGAAGACAGCUUACUAGGCUUAUACUGACGCUGAGGCGCGAAAGCGUGGGGAGCAAACAGG
rnacentral:rRNA from 1 species